AACAAACGCUGGCGGCGUGCCUAAUACAUGCAAGUCGAACGGGGAAAGCUUUCGGGUGAGUACUAGUGGCGCACGGGUGAGUAACGCGUGGAUAAUCUGCCUUAGAGUGGGGGAUAACUAGUCGAAAGAUUAGCUAAUACCGCAUAAGACCACAAGAACUGCGGUUCAAGGGGUCAAAGGUUUUUCGCUCUAAGAUGAGUCCGCGUAAGAUUAGCUAGUUGGUAGGGUAACGGCCUACCAAGGCGACGAUCUUUAACUGGUCUGAGAGGAUGAACAGUCAAACUGGAACUGGGAGACGGUCCAGACUCCUACGGGAGGAAGCAGGAGGGAAUAUUGCACAAUGGAGGAAACUCUGAUGCAGCGACGCCGCGUGAGUGAUGAAGGCCUUCGGGUCGUAAAGCUCUGUCGCAGGGGAAUAACACAAUGAAGGUACCCUGUAAGAAAGGAUCGGCUAACUUCGUGCCAGCCGCCGCAGUAAGAC
rnacentral:rRNA from 1 species